rnacentral:rRNA from 1 species
CCCUUAGAUGUUCUGGGCCGCACGCGCGCUACACUGACGAAUGCAACGAGCUUAUAACCUUGGCCGAAAGGUCUGGGUAAUCUCCAAAUUUCGUCGUGAUGGGGAUAGAUUAUUGCAAUUAUUAAUCUUUAACGAGGAAUGCCUAGUAAGCGCAAGUCAUCAGCUUGCGUUGAUUACGUCCCUGCCCUUUGUACACACCGCCCGUCGCUCCUACCGAUUGAAUGGUCCGGUGAAGCGUUCGGACCGUGGCCUUUGGACGGUUCGCCGUCUGUUGGCUGCGGGAAGUUCGUUAAACCUUAUCAUUUAGAGGAAGGAGAAGUCGUAACA